rnacentral:rRNA from 1 species
ACGAGCGCACCCCUAUCCUUAUUUGCCAGCGCGUUAUGGCGGGAACUCUAAGGAGACUGCCGGUGAUAAACCGGAGGAAGGUGGGGACGACGUCAAGUCAUCAUGGCCCUUACGGGAUGGGCUACACACGUGCUACAAUGGCAAGUACAGAGGGCAGCAAUACCGCGAGGUGGAGCGAAUCCCACAAAGCUUGUCGUAGUCCGGAUUGGAGUCUGCAACUCGACUCCAUGAAGUCGGAAUCGCUAGUAAUCGUAGAUCAGAAUGCUACGGUGAAUACGUUCCCGGGCCUUGNACACACCGCCCGU